CUUGAUGGCAGUUUGCAAGUGGAUUAAUUGCAGGAACAUAUGUAGAGGCCCGAAGAGGUUUCACAGAUGGGCCUUCCUAUCGCCGCUGCCGCGGCGGGUCUCCUUUCCCCUGCAUUUACUGCUGCCUAUGUAGAACGAAGAGUUGCAGGGUUUGCGAGGACGGUGCGAUCGUCUAAAUCUAUUCUUGGUCAGUGCUGUCAUAAAAGCUGCCGGCCGCUUCAUACCGUCGUCCUCGACAGCGGGAAAGAAUUGCAACAGUCAAACGGAUGUGAAGAAGCCGACGUUCUAGAACGUCUCUCGAAUGAGUUCAUUCAGAUUAAGCUAUUGCCGACAGCGAACAGGAUGACAACGAAAAGCUUCUACACUGAGGUUGAUGGUACCAAAAUUCCUAUUGGCUUCAACGUUGAGAACCUUCGUUCCGCCAAGAAGUAUAAACCGCUGGAUUCAGACAUAUUCAUAUGUACAUUUCCCAAAUGCGGCACCAACUGGACAAAGCGCAUUGUUCAAUUGCUGAUAGAUCGCGAGAGUCGUACCGGAGAGGUAGCAGAUUACGGACUCAGCAAAUGCUUUUUGGAAAUGGCCGGGGCUUCGGUGAUUUCCAGUCAGCCCGAACCACGUAUCGUUACCUCGCACCUCUAUUUUAAGGAAAUUCCAUGGAAUCCUAACACCAAAUAUAUCUACGUUCUUCGGAACCCUAAGGACUGUUGCGUAUCAUACUUCCAUCACACAAAGCGAACGAAGGUUUACGAUUACGAAAAUGGAACGCUCACCGAUUACGUCACAACCUUUCUUAAUGGCGAAACCAGCUUCGGCUCCUAUUUUGAGCAUUUUCGCCAAUGGUAUGCUCAAAAGGACAGGCCUAACGUAUUGUUUUUGACCUAUGAAAACAUGAAACAGGACCCAGUCAAAGAGAUCCAGAAAAUUAUCGCAUUUUUGGGAUUGCCAUGUCCCGAGCUAAGGGACCCAUCUUCUGCUAAGUUUCAGCACGUUCUUAAGGAGAGUGGCAUCGACGCUAUGAAGGACUAUGUUGAAGAGAACUACAGAACUGCUUUUGCCGGAGCUAGUGAGACUGGAUGGAAAGCACGUUCAGAUUACCCAUGCGAUCGCGCGCCCCCUCCGCCAGAUUGCUUUGUAAGAAAAGGAAUCGUAGGCGACUGGAAAAACGAAUUUUCCUUUGCAGAUUCGAAGGCGAUAGAGGGGCAAAUGCUCCGAGCUUGCGAAGGAUUCGCCAGUGUUCAAGACAUUUGGGACGAUAAAGUCUGGAGAGACUGCUGACAAACUUCAGCAACACACAGAAGCCGUGAUCGACGAACCAGAAGCUGCCCGCAUAUCCGCAUUGCCAAACAGAUAACAUGGGUUUCUGUAAGCAUACAUUUUCCUUGUGCGUCGCCGAUUCAGUUGCAUCUAAUGACUGAUCAGACGGUCCGUGAUUACUGUAAAUGAUUCAGGGUUCAUGACGAGUCACAGUUCGACGCAAGAAUGGGCCACCCGAGCAUAUCUACAUUUCCAUUUUGGUCCUGGCCAUAUCACAGGUUUGAGUCCCGGGCGACGCCGUUUCUUUGUACGUUACGUCAUUACGAACUCAACUCACAGCAGACAACUCGCCUAAAGAGUUAAGCCGUUGACGGCGGUAAUGCCUGGCUCGUGGUAUAAGAGAGGGUCGAGAGGGAGAGUUCGAAACAAACUAGGCCCUUAUAGCCACACUGCCAUCUAACGGUGGAAUAUUCGCCAACGAAAACCUGCUUCCCAUAGUGCGGGCGUGUUGAUACGGUCUAAAACGUGCAAAAGAAUCCGUUUUCAAAGCAUAUUUGUUUAUUUAUUGGUUUACUGGUUAACACACUCAACUACCUUGUCUUCGUACUCAAAUAAUUCAUAUUAUAAAUAGGAGGUAAAAUUUUACUAAACGGGCAGCCUCUGUUCUAUCUACUUUUGAAAGUGAAGGAACUUCAUCCCUACGGGUAUUAUUAGCUUUGUAUCGCCAUCCAGUAUCUAGCUGGAAUCGAAAAUGAGGUAAAUAGACCACUUCAAGAGUCCUAUGGCCUAA